rnacentral:rRNA from 1 species
AGCUCCAAUAGCGUAUAUUAAAGUUGUUGUGGUUAAAAAGCUCGUAGUUGGAUCUCGGCGGUCUGAGGGCGGUUCGCUUGAUUGAGUGCUACUGCUCUAUAGGCCGUGGUUUUGCCAGAGGUCUCGGGGUGCUCUUAACCGAGUGUCCUGCGAUGCUGGCAGGUUUACUUUGAAAAAAUUAGAGUGCUCAAAGCAGGCUUUUACGCCUGAAUAUUCGUGCAUGGAAUAAUAGUUUGUUGGUUUUCGGAAAUCGACUUAAUGAUUAAUAGGGACAGUCGGGGGCAUUUGUAUUCAAACGACAGAGGUGAAAUUCUUGGACCGUUUGAAGACAAACUACUGCGAAAGCAUUUGCCAAGAAUGUUUUCA